UUAUGAUGAUGAUGAUGAUGAUGAUGAUGAUGAUGAUGAUAAUGAUGAUGACGUGGAAGACUACCAUCAUUAUCAUCAUCAUCAUCAUCAUCAUCAUCAUUAUCG
rnacentral:pre_miRNA from 1 species